UGAACGCUGGCGGCGUGCCUAACACAUGCAAGUCGAACGAGAAAGGGAUUGCUUGCAAUCCUUAGUAAAGUGGCGCACGGGUGAGUAAUGCGUGGGUAACCUGCCCUUGAACCCGGGAUAACUUCGCGAAAGCGAUGCUAAUACCGGAUAUCGUCCAAUAAUCUGUGGAUUUUUGGAUGAAAGAUGACCUCUUCAUGAAAGUUGUCGUUCAGGGAGGGGCUCGCGUACCAUUAGCUUGUUGGUAGGGUAAUGGCCUACCAAGGCUGCGAUGGUUAGCUGGUCUGAGAGGAUGAUCAGCCACACUGGAACUGAAACACGGUCCAGACUCCUACGGGAGGCAGCAGUGAGGAAUUUUGCGCAAUGGGGGAAACCCUGACGCAGCAACGCCGCGUGAGUGAAGAAGGCUUUCGGGUCGUAAAGCUCUGUCAAAUGGGAAAAAAAUCCUGGAAUGAAUAGUUUCAGGGUCUGAUGGUACCAUUAGAGGAAGCACCGGCUAACUCC
rnacentral:rRNA from 1 species